CCCGCGAGUCAAGUCUAGGUGCACGAUGCAGAAGGCGACCACGGAUGUCACAUCAACAGUCAAGUCUAAAUCCCAUCAUGUGUGGCGUAAGGCGAGAGACAACCCAAGCGUUUGACCUCAGCUGGUGCCUUCCGGUGGCGUAAUGUUCAGCUUCGGAACCCCGACCACUCUGAGACCAGGCCAAUGAUCUCCUGUAUAAUGUUCGCUGCUGCCCUUUGGUUCAUAUUCUAAGGUCUCUUUCUCAGCCUCUCGGUUGCCGUACGACAGCGACCGUUUCGAGGAUAAGCAGAACCAGUCGCUUUCCUGGAAACAAAAUAAAUCAGUUUUUCUUCCUGCAGAGAUUUGAUGCCGACCCGUCUUGCCGAUGUGUGAGGCAGAGCACGGUUGUGAUGACGGUGGAACAGCGACGGAGGACGACAGGACACCAAGCCAGCGGCGACAUCGCCCGUCGUGUUCCUGAGCAGCAGCAACGAGAAAGACAGGCGUGAGCCAGGCCCGCGGGCACGCAAGGUGAGGUCUCCUGGUAAGAUCGCCUACCUCAGGUAUGCCGAUAUUCGUGACGUCGAAGAGAAUAGACGGGGGCGCACACCCCAAAGCGGGCCGAGAAGUCCGGCUACGACCGCUGAUGAGACGCAUGGGUCUGCCCCGUCCAUCCAAAGCCUGGGUCCAUCUUGCCGCUCGCCGUGCCGCCCUGGAAGCCCACCGUCGGGGACGCAA
rnacentral:lncRNA from 1 species